GCAGAACAAGAACUGAAACACCAGAAAGAAAGAUUAUUCUCGUAUCACUAAGUAUUCAGCUAAAUGGAAUUACGAAAUAAACAGGUUUUGGCACGGCUAACUGAGGUCCAAGGUCACCGGUAUCUGAAGCAAAACAAGGUAAUGAAAUUACAAACAGUUUUGGCACGGUAUAGCUUUGUGUACACAACACUAUUCUAGAAGCUGCAGUCACAUAUUAUGGCAAGAACAAAUGCCGCAUGAUAUUGCGAGUUGCCAUGAAGACCUGGUAAAACCAUCAUAUCAGUGUCUGCCAAGUCAGCAAGAAAAUCAACCCUACCUAAGAUAGUAGCUCCCAAUUCUGCUCUCCACUUUUCACUCCUUCAUCAAAAACAAAGAACAAAGAAAACCCUAAAGCUCCACACUUGUUACACGCUAUGCUCAAUGCAACUUCCAGAGUUUCUUUUUCCAGGAACUGGAGUUCCAACAUCUAAUUAUUAAGUUAAUAUCAC